rnacentral:rRNA from 1 species
UACGAAGGGGGGCUAGCGUUGUUCGGAAUUACUGGGCGUAAAGCGUGCGCAGGCGGCUUCUCAAGUCAGGGGUGAAAGCCCAGAGCUUAACUCUGGAAUUGCCUUUGAGACUGAGAGGCUUGAGUACGGGAGAGGUGAGUGGAAUUCCCAGUGUAGAGGUGAAAUUCGUAGAUAUUGGGAAGAACACCGGUGGCGAAGGCGGCUCACUGGCCCGUAACUGACGCUCAUGCACGACAGCGUGGGGAUCAAACAGG